UGCGUAGGCGGGCUAAUAAGUCAGUGGUGAAAUCUCUCGGCUCAACCGGGAAACUGCCAUUGAUACUGUUAGUCUUGAGUUCGGUUGAGGUAGGCGGAAUGUGUAAUGUAGCGGUGAAAUGCUUAGAUAUUACACAGAACACCAAUUGCGUAGGCAGCUUACUAGACCGACACUGACGCUGAGGCACGAAAGCGUGGGUAGCGAACAGGAUUAGAUACCCUGGUAGUCC
rnacentral:rRNA from 1 species